GUCUAUGGCCAUGCCACCCUGAACAAGCCCGAUCCCGUCUGAUCUCGGAAGCUAAGCAGGGUUGGGCCUGGUUAGUACUUGGAUGGGAGACCACCUAGAAAGACCAGGUGCUGUUGGCA
rnacentral:rRNA from 1 species